UACGGGGGGAGCAAGCGUUGUUCGGAUUUACUGGGCGUAAAGGGCGCGUAGGCGGCGCAACAAGUCACUUGUGAAAUCUCCGGGCUUAACUCGGAGCGGCCAAGUGAUACUGUCGUGCUAGAGUGCGGAAGGGGCUACUGGAAUUCUCGGUGUAGCGGUGAAAUGCGUAGAGAUCGGGAGGAACAUCAGUGGCGAAAGCGACUUCCUGGACCAAUACUGACGCUCAUGUGCGAAAGCGUGGGGAGCAAACAGG
rnacentral:rRNA from 1 species